rnacentral:rRNA from 1 species
CCUACGGGAGGCAGCAGUGAGGAAUAUUGGUCAAUGGGCGCGAGCCUGAACCAGCCAAGUCGCGUGAGGGAAGACGGUCCUAUGGAUUGUAAACCUCUUUUGUCGGGGAGCAAAAGACGCCACGCGGGGCGUUCCGUGAGUACCCGAAGAAAAAGCAUCGGCUAACUCCGUGCCAGCAGCCGCGGUAAUACGGGGGAUGCGAGCGUUAUCCGGAUUUAUUGGGUUUAAAGGGUGCGCAGGCGGAAGAUCAAGUCAGCGGUAAAAUUGAGAGGCUCAACCUCUUCGAGCCGUUGAAACUGGUUUUCUUGAGUGAGUGAGAAGUAUGCGGAAUGCGUGGUGUAGCGGUGAAAUGCAUAGAUAUCACGCAGAACUCCGAUUGCGAAGGCAGCAUACCGGCGCUCAACUGACGCUCAUGCACGAAAGUGUGGGUAUCGAACAGGAUUAGAUACCCGAGUAGUC